GUACAGAUCUCAAUGCUAUUAAAUUCCUGCAAAGUUUUUUGGAAAUGGAUUCCAUCUGCGGAGGGAAGAAAUCAAUAAAUAAUUAUUUAUUUAGCCCUCAAUAAUAAAAGGCUGCAGUAUAAACUCCAGCACAUUGCUAAACACCCAACAGCUACACAAAACCUCUUCUUAAGGAGUUACUUAUUCCUACAAACUUCAAUUAACACAAAAAUUACUCUUCAAUAUGUAAUUAUUAUGCAAUGCAGUGUGAGCUAUUCUCUUUUUAUUGCUGGCAUGAUUGGGGUGGGGAUAAACUGUGCAUCCGGGCACCAGUUUUCAGAAAGCGAACACAACAUUGUUACUGUUGUCUGGAUAAAUGAGAACAGGUUCUAAAAUUCACGGAGUUGGGAGAUUUCGGCUUUCCAAAGUUCUCCAGGCGAACCGAGCGCAUAAAAUCCUGCUGGAAUUACAACCGCACCAGCAGACUGGCAUAUUCUGCCGUACUUGAGGUGAUCACAAAGGAAAAAACAAACAAUCGGGUAAUAAUAUUCACUUGAAACUUUAUUUCACUUUAUUUUAUUUUCCUUCUUUUUAUACACAACCUUGUAACUGGAUGUUCAGUUUCACUGAUGAGUAAUUAGUAAUAUCCACAAGGGCUGCUUCUACCCAAGGGAAGGUUCACAGGCUUGAGAACAUCCAAGAGUGAUGUUUGAGCUGGAAUAGUUGUGUUGCUAAAGAUCUAAUGUAUAUGGGAAAAGGAGACUAGGAGUAAAGGGGAGACAGUUUCAUGCAAAUAUCCUCCUGUACUUCAGCAAGAACGGCCUGGGUAGGCUGUGUUAGAACCAUCCAGAGCAGUCCUUUGUGUCUAAUCAAGACCCAAAAGUCUUCUACACCACAUGCAAUGAAAGAAGGAUAAAUGGGCCAGCACAGAGCCACGCAUUACCACGUCGACUGCUUGGCUGACUGCUUGGAGUAGAGCAGGCUUACGGUCCCUCAGACACUGCUGUGCUGUCUCACAAAGUUCAGCGUUAGAGGAGGAGAGCGGCAAGCGUUGAGCUUUACUUCCAGAUGCUUUGGUAUAGAUCUUCGUGGAGCGGGCCCAAGGUGGGGGAGGUCUGUGCUGACCAACCUGCACAUCUCUAGAGCCUACGCGUACAUUGUAGAAUCAUAAAAUCAUAGAAUCAUUACGGUUGGAAAAGACCUAUAAGAUCAUCUAGUCCAUCAGCCCACCACCACCAUGCCCACAGAACCACAUCCCUCAGUGCCACAUCUGCAUGUUUCUGAACACCUUCGGGGACGGUGACAUCGCUAUCUCCCCUGGCAGCCUGUUCCAAUAUGCAUUAUUUCUUUCUGAGAAGACUUUUUUCCUGAUAUCCAACGUGAACCUCCCCUCCCUGGAGCAACUUCAGGCCAUUACCUCUCAUCCUGUCGCUGUUUACCUGGGAGAAGGGGCUGACCUCCACCUCGCUACAACCUCCUUUCAGGUAGCUGUAGAGAGGGAUACGGUCUCUCCUGAGCCUCCUCUUUUCCUGACUGAAUGAGCCCAGGAUAAAUUCAGAAUAAACAAACGCUUGGAUGAAGGAUUCUGAGGUAACGUGCCCAAAAUUUGUUCAAAAUUCCUGGUGGGAGGAGGAAAAGCAGAAGGGCAGUUGUUCAUGCACCAACAAUAUAAUAAUGUUAAUAUUUUACUAAUAUUUUACUGCCAGAGGCGUUGUUUUAGAACCAUACCUUUUGCUGCAUUUGCCUUCACCAAAUUCCCCCAGGCAUGGAGAUAUGCCCUCUGCUUCCUAAUAAGUUUAUAUUGUUUCUUUUCAGUCUAUGUACAAAUAAUGUGCAGAAGUAGAAAAACAGGCGUCUGCCUCCUUCACCUGCAGACUCACCAGUUUCUGCAGAGUGGGAAGAUACUACUUUUUGCUGGACAAACCCAACUUAGCCAGAGAUCAGAGGCCAUCACGCUUGCAGCAGUCUCCGAUAGCACUGACACAGAGGACUAUGACUCUGUCUACUUCAGGAGCGAUGCCUCAGACGAGGACUCUGCAGCCACACGUACAGCAUGGUUGCAGAGACUGACCCUGAUCUCCAGCAGCGCGCUGCUGAUGUGUCGGACCUUCCUGAUCUCCCCCAGGUCCAUCUGCUAGAAGGGGAUGCUGUUUAUUUCUCCAAGCGAGACAGAUGGGAGGAGAUGGUCAAUGAGUUUGAGAUGAAAAGAGGAAUAGAGAGGAGUCCAGGUCCUGUCAAGGAGACUGAAUGGUAUGGUGAUACUGGCAUUAGCUGGAACGAAAGAAAACAAACAUGGGAAAAGCAUGAAGCUGGACGUCUGCAAAUCCCAGCGUGACCAGAGCAGCCAGUAGAGGGCACGGGGAUCUCAUAACGCUCGGAGCAGCCUAGCCCCACAAUCCCUCGUGGGAUGGAAAAGUAACGGGGCGUGCUGCCUCCUGCCUCCUCCUGUUUUGCUCAGAAAUCAAUAGUGCAGCAGCAGUUGUUCAUCCCUGAGAAUAACACGGUAUCCGUUAACAAUGGUUAAUAUUGGUAGCAGAUCCUACCGGCCUUUCGGUGAGCUGGUUAAUGAUGAUAUUAUUUCCAAACACUGUUCCAAACUAGUUCUCUGGGAAGGAGAAUGCAUUAGUGGCAGGCAGGAGCCUGCCAACUCCAUGAACUGUCUCUGUGAUCACGCUGCAAGGACUUUGCUUUUUCUAAGCACUAAUAUAAUUAAAAACCAUUUUAACGCGUUUUUGAUGUUAGAGUACAUGGACUUUGGAAUAAAGCUGCGUGGCUUUGUUUACUGAAACACCACUGUGAUAACAAACAGUGUUUGUUUGUUUGUUUGCUUUCCAAAACUUACUGGAUUUGGAUGAAAAUAGGAAAAACAACAACGACAACAACAAAACAAACAAAAAACCCCCACAGAUUACCUUCUGCUGGAGCUACAGUUAUUCCACUUCCUUCCUCUCAGCUCUGUCACCAGGUGAAUUAAAGGCCUCCCUCGCUGCAUAGCAACGUAUUCCGUGUAAGCAAUGCUCAGCAACAACAAAAGCAUCCAUGCGCUAUUACCAGCAUUUCUAUCAAAAAUCCAAAGUACUGCAUCUUAGAGGCCUCUACAAAUAAAAUUAACUCUGUCCCAGCCAAAACCAUGACAUCUGUGACUGCGGAUGAAGUACGCUUCUGGCUGCUUGUGGCACGAUAGAAGGGAAAAAGCUGUUUGACGUAAGAUGGCAGCACUAGAAAAGAUCGAAAAGAUUUGACUGUCUAAACUUUGUCUUAGCAGCAGCAUGUGAGACAGAAGAAUUUCUGGCUGUUAGGUGUUACAGUAUCCGUGCUGGCGUCUAGCUUCAGUGGGCACAAGAUACCAAUAUCCAGGUGCAAUUUCUCUGGCAAGGUGUAUACGGUAUUUACCACCAGCUCUCAAUGAACAUCACACAGAUUUGCCCUAAUUUUAGUACCGCUGCCAAACAGGGUGUGCAUAUGGCAGUGCUUCAGGCUCAGAUACGUCAGAUAUGGCUAUGUGGCCCUUCUCUGUGGAUGUAAUCGCGUUGUGCGUGGCGGGUUGGGUCGUACAACACUGUGCUACCAGUGAGGUAAAUGAGGCGUUCUGGGAGGAAAGAGACUGAGAGCACCUGAGAAAUCUGUAGGUCUGCAGACUGCUGGAAGUAUUUAAUUUCCUUUAAGAGGGGGAAAAUGUAUUGUCCUUGUGUAUUGACACCUAUCGCUGGGGCUUCUUAUUUACAGUUUUGGUUUAUUUGCAAAGUACGUAUGGAGACUUCAGGGAGCUAAAAGGGAAAUCCUCUGGCAGGUUUCCUUCAGCGAUUUUUUUCUGAUGUGCACUAUUGGCUGUGAGCGUACGACUUGGUCUACCUCUCCUAGAGUCGACUUCCAGCAGUGCUGUUCUGCUGCCAGAUGGUCAAAUGAAAUGAGAACAGAAUGGUUAAGCUCUGACUGAUAUGGACACUCAUGCCAAUUUGGUUUUGAACUUUUCCUUUGGAACUACAAUUUGGAAAUAAAUGGAAAGAGGUGAGAGCACACGAAGAAAGGAAUUUGUUUCCUGUGUUCCCCCCUCCCCUUUUUUUUUUUUUUUUAAACUAAAAAUUUGCUUAAUCUGGCACAGCCGUAAACCGUUUAUCAGAUUAUUACCUACGGACGGG
ensembl:lncRNA